rnacentral:snoRNA from 1 species
AGCAUUUGUGUGCAUCUUUGUUCAACUGAUAGGUAAAGGAAUGAAAGACGGAUGCAAAAAAAAAAAAAUCAAUCUUCUUUUGCAACCCAGAGCUCAUUGUUUCGUGUAGUUUUGAAACGUAGAAGAAGGAAUAUG